UGGAGGCAGCAGUGGGGAAUAUUGCGCAAUGGCCGCAAGGCUGACGCAGCGACGCCGCGUGUGGGAUGACGGCCUUCGGGUUGUAAACCACUGUCGGGGGGGACGAAUACUCGGCUUCGAAUAGGAGACCGAGGGUGACGGUACCUCCAAAGGAAGCACCGGCUAACUCCGUGCCAGCAGCCGCGGUAAUACGGAGGGUGCAAGCGUUGUCCGGAAUCACUGGGCGUAAAGGGCGCGUAGGCGGCUCUCUAAGUCACUUGUGAAAUCCUGGGGCUCAACUCCAGGGCUGCAGGUGAGACUGGAGGGCUAGAGCUCGGUAGAGGCGAGUGGAAUUCCCCGUGUAGCGGUGGAAUGCGUAGAUAUCGGGAAGAACACCGGUGGCGAAGGCGGCUCGCUGGGCCGAUGCUGACGCUGAGGCGCGAAAGCGUGGGGAGCAAACAGGAUUAGAUACCCCUGUAGUCC
rnacentral:rRNA from 1 species